CCUAAGGUGGUGUAGUGGUCUAGCAUUCUGACUUGACACACGGGGACGCCUACUGGGCAGAACCGUGCCCGAAAGGGGGAGGAGACCCGGGUUCGAAUCCUGGCUUUAGGA
rnacentral:tRNA from 1 species